UUCCUGAUCAGCAGAAUGACAGCUAUGCUCCCACACUCUGCAGGAAGCAGGGCACUGAAACACGACCGUCUCCUGGAUGUGAGGGUAGCUGAGAGCCAUGGCCUCCUAUGCAGCCCACACUCAGGAAAGCCUUCCAGGAAAUCUUGCAAAAGCAGAGAAGGAAGGAGACAGAUCGUUUCCACCUGAAUAGAAGACCUUCCCAAAGCCUUCUGAUUUAUCCCGAGGGGCUUCAGGUGGGCUCAUCAGACGCCUUCGGAACAGCGCCAGGCAGGGGUCCCAGCUCCUCCAAGAGCACAGAUAGAUCGGAAUUCCGGGCCCUUCUGCUAGAUUCCACCAUCUUGAAACAACCUGUUCCUUAUUGA
rnacentral:lncRNA from 1 species